GAAGCGGCAACAGCCCAAAUUUGAAAUCCGGCCCUAGGGGCCCGAGUUGUAAUUUGGAGAGGGUGUCUCGGGGGCCGACGCCGGCCCAAGUCCCUUGGAACAGGGUGUCGGAGAGGGUGAGAACCCCGUACCUGGCCGGCCGUCCACCCCACGCGAGGCCCCUUCGACGAGUCGAGUUGUUUGGGAAUGCAGCUCUAAGUGGGUGGUAAAUUCCAUCUAAGGCUAAAUACCGGCCGGAGACCGAUAGCGCACAAGUAGAGUGAUCGAAAGAUGAAAAGCACUUUGGAAAGAGAGUGAAAAAGUACGUGAAAUUGUUGAAAGGGAAGCGCUUGCGCCAGACCCGCCACCGGUCAAUCAGCCGUUGUUCUCAGCGGCGUGCUUGGCCGACGGCGGGCCAGCAUCGGUCCGGGCGGCCGGAGAAAGUCCCCGGGAACGUGACUCCCCCCCGGGGGAGCCUUAUAGCCCGGGGAGCCAUGCGGCCAGCCGGGACCGAGGAUCGCGCUCCGGCGAGGAUGCUGGCGUAAUGGUCGCAAGCGGCCCGUCUUGAAACACGGACCAAGGAGUCUAACGUCUAUGCGAGUGUGUGGGUGACAAACCCGCGCGCGGAAUGAAAGUGAACGGAGGUGGGAACCUCGCACCAUCGACCGAUCCUUCCUCGGAUGGAUUUGAGUAGGAGCAUAGCCGUUGGGACCCGAAAGAUGGUGAACUAUGCCUGGAUAGGGUGAAGCCAGAGGAAACUCUGGUGGAGGCUCGCAGCGGUUCUGACGUGCAAAUCGAUCGUCGAAUUGGGUAUAGGGGCGAAAGACUAAUC
rnacentral:rRNA from 1 species